GUGCUCACGUCGGCAGCACGUGUACUUAAACUACAAGGAUACAGAGACUGACAUGGCCUGUGCGCAAGGGUGACAUGCAAAUUUGUGAAGCAUUCUGUAUUUUU